CUGGCUCUUCCUGGGCUGUACCUGGGGUAAGAGGCUCAGAGACUGUCCUGACAUCACUGUGACCACAGUUUCAUCUGGCUGAUGCAGUGUGUGCUUAUCAUCAUCUGAAAUCUCUGCUGCCGGAAAGAGGGAAUCGUUCAGAAGACUUUACUCUAGGAGGAUACUUCACUCCUGUAAAUCUGCCAGCAAGUCAUAACAAUGUCCCUCUGAGUCAAUUCAUGGCUUGCCCCAGUGCUGCCUUCCUCUUGAGCGUCCUGCCUAACCUCACAUCUGGCCUCCACUACACAACUGCCCAUCUCUGGAGUCACUCAGCAAAGCACGCACCAAGGAAAGCUGUGGGUUUCUGUCAACCGGUGCAUCUACCACUGUGUCCUGGAGAGCUCCUAACCACCUCGGACCUGGAGAGGAGAGGGAAGCCCCUGUGCAUGCAGUACCACCCCAUCCUCUGGUCUUUAUUCCAGUCCUGUCCAGCACCUGUCAAAGAAAGCCAGUGUGGAGAAGACCUCUUGGGAGCCCCAGAGCCUGUCAAACCCGACCUGAGGAGCUGACUCUUGCAUUGCUCCUGCGGGGAUGGCUGGAUGGCACGUGGCUGGCGUGAUGCUUGCUAGGUAUGUGCCCCCUUGGCCAACGGCAUCUGGAUAGCAAGGUCCAAGG
rnacentral:lncRNA from 1 species